UACGUAGGGGGGCUAGCGUUGUCCGGAAUCAUUGGGCGUAAAGCGCGUGUAGGCGGUCCGGUAAGUCCGCUGUGAAAGUCGGGGGCUCAACCCUCGAAUGCCGGUGGAUACUGUCGGGCUAGAGUGCGGAAGAGGCGAGUGGAAUUCCUGGUGUAGCGGUGAAAUGCGCAGAUAUCAGGAGGAACACCUGCGGUGUAGACGGCUUUCUGGACCAUUGCUGACGCUGAGACACGAAAGCGUGGGUAGCAAACAGG
rnacentral:rRNA from 1 species